UGAAUUCAACCGAUGGUGAAAAUACAAAUCGACAAGUUGAAUUUGAUUGACAAAAUAUAAUUUCAAUAAUAAAAACAAAUAAUAAAAAUAAUUUUAAUUGAAUCAUUGUCAAGCUUUUUUCGUUUUUUUUUUUUUUUUCGAAAUUUUUU
rnacentral:ribozyme from 1 species